rnacentral:lncRNA from 1 species
AUGGAGACUAGAAUUUCGUCGGAGAAAGAAGAAGAAACGAAGCGGUUCUCGAUUCUAGAGAGUUGAGACCCGAGAAAUAAGAGGGAGAGAGGACGUCUACGGAGAGAUUAAUGGAUUCUUGAUUUAGACGAAGGAGGACGACGAAGAAAGCCACAACGCACGGAGGCUAGGGUUUCGUCGCAAUCGCAAGAGAGAAGCCGGAGAGGAACGAGACGGGAUUUAGAUUUAGGUGGAGAGGGAGAGAGACAAAACGCUUCGUUUAGAGAAUAGGAUCCGGUUCAGUUUGGUUGGGUCGGGUAGAGCAGGUCGGGUUGGUAAUAAGUUGGUUUCAUUAAGGUCCCUAGCGUCUUUAACCACGUUUU